rnacentral:rRNA from 1 species
UACGUAGGGUGCGAGCGUUGUCCGGAAUUAUUGGGCGUAAAGAGCUUGUAGGUGGUUUGUCGCGUCUGCUGUGAAAAUCCGAGGCUCAACCUCGGACUUGCAGUGGGUACGGGCAGACUAGAGUGUGGUAGGGGAGACUGGAAUUCCUGGUGUAGCGGUGGAAUGCGCAGAUAUCAGGAGGAACACCGGUGGCGAAGGCGGGUCUCUGGGCCAAAACUGACGCUGAGGAGCGAAAGCGUGGGGAGCGAACAGG